UGAUAAAACCCUCUAGUCCACCCCGGUGAU
rnacentral:piRNA from 1 species